CAAAAACCAAGAGGAAACUAUAAACACUUGAAAGAUGACACCACGCCCCCUGGUUGCAGCCACGCCCCUGGUUGCACGCCACGUCACGCCCACAAUGGGAUUAGCCGGUCCUCACGAGCCGCUCCUGUAACGUGACCAUCUUAUGAUUCAACUGAACUGAGAGAAAUGCACUUAAACCAACGUGAAGAGCAGAGAGCUGCUUAUGGGAGAAAAGCGAGCCAUUUUGAAGCUGAGCAAAGAGGGAAAAUCGAUCAGAGUCAUUGCGCAAACAUUGGGUAUAGCCAAUACAACAAUUUGGAAUGUUCUGAAAAAGAAAGAAACGACUGGUGUACUGAGCAACAGACGUGGAACAUCUCGGCCAAGGAAAACAACAACAGCUGAUGAAGAAAAACCCAAAAACAACAGUCAGUGAUAUCACCAACAACCUCCACAGGGCGGGGGUGAAGGUAUCACAAUCCACCGUUCGAAGAAGACUUCGAGAGCAGAAAUACAGAGGCCAUAACACACGAUGUGAUCCACUCAUCAGCAGGAAGAAUCAGAAAGUCAGACUGGAAUUCACAAAGAAAUACAGAGAUGAUCCACAAAAGUUCUGGGACCAAGAUGAACCUCUAACAGAGUGAUGGAAAGGCCAAAGUGUGGAGAAAGAAAGGAUCUGCUCAUGGUCCAAAACAUACAAGCUCAUCUGUGAAACAUGGUGGAGGUAGUGUCACGGCUUG
ensembl:lncRNA